UGUGGUGAUUUUAGCGAAAGGGCAAUACCCGUUCCCAUCCCGAACACGGUAGUCAAGCCUUUCAGCCCCAACGAUACUCUAGGGGUAGCCCUACGGGAAAAUAGGACAUCGCCGCUC
rnacentral:rRNA from 1 species